CCCUUAGAUGUCCUGGGCUGCACGCGCGCUACACUGAUGCGUCCAAUAAGCACCUAACCUAAUCCGAAGGGACCGGGUAACCUUAGCAAAGCGCAUCGUGAUGGGGAUAGAUUAUUGCAAUUAUUAGUCUUGAACGAGGAAUUCCUAGUAAGCGCAGGUCAUCAGCUUGUGUUGAUUACGUCCCUGCCCUUUGUACACACCGCCCGUCGCACCUACCGAUUGAAUGGUUCGGUGAAGAUCUCGGACUUCGAUAUUUGUUCUUCAUUGAACUUAUAUUGUGGGAAGUUAUCUAAACCUCAUCAUUUAGAGGAAGGUGAAGUCGUAACA
rnacentral:rRNA from 1 species